rnacentral:rRNA from 1 species
UACGGGGGGGGCAAGCGUUGUUCGGAUUUACUGGGCGUAAAGGGCGCGUAGGCGGCGCGACAAGUCACUUGUGAAAUCUCCGGGCUUAACCCGGAGCGGCCAAGUGAUACUGUCGUGCUGGAGUGCGGAAGGGGCCACCGGAAUUCUCGGUGUAGCGGUGAAAUGCGUAGAUAUCGAGAGGAACACCUGCGGCGAAGGCGGGUGGCUGGGCCGACACUGACGCUGAGGCGCGAAAGCGUGGGGAGCAAACAGG